UAAUUGAAGAGUUUGAUCAUGGCUCAGAUUGAACGCUGGCGGCAGGCCUAACACAUGCAAGUCGGGCGGUAACAGGGAGAAGCUUGCUUCUCCGCUGACGAGCGGCGGACGGGUGAGUAAUGUAUGGGGAUCUGCCUGAUGGCGGGGGAUAACUACUGGAAACGGUAGCUAAUACCGCAUAAUGUCUUCGGACCAAAGCGGGGGACCUCAGGGCCUCGCGCCAUCAGAUGAACCCAUAUGGGAUUAGCU
rnacentral:rRNA from 1 species